AGCAGUCGCCGCGGUAAUACGAAGGGUGCAAGCGUUAAUCGGAAUUACUGGGCGUAAAGCGUGCGUAGGCGGUGAGUCAAGUCUGCUGUGAAAUCCCCGGGCUCAACCUGGGAAUGGCAGUGGAUACUGGCUCGCUAGAGUGUGUCAGAGGAUGGUGGAAUUCCCGGUGUAGCGGUGAAAUGCGUAGAGAUCGGGAGGAACAUCAGUGGCAAGGGCGGCCAUCUGGGACAACACUGACGCUGAGGCACGAAAGCGUGGGGAGCAAACAGGAUUAGAUACCCCUGUAGUCCCUGUCUCUUAUAC
rnacentral:rRNA from 1 species